UUCCAUCGCCUCGCGCCCCUCCCAUCGCCGCCGCCGCCGCCAGCCCCCAAUCCCGUCGCCCACGUCCUACUCAAUCCCCUCGCUCCCUCUCCUCUCUCGAUCCCUCCCCCAAUCCACUCUCUCCACGGUCGUCAUCCUCAGGUCGAGCUCCAUCCUCACCGUCUCCGGGAGCAGCCUUGCCGCCGCUCGCGCCGCCGCAGCACACCUUGGGGUGAGAUGGCAGGGGCUGGUCGAAGAUGGCAGCGGCGACCGGCCAGAGGUUGCAGCAGCAGCAGCAGUGAAACCCUAGCCGCCACGAGACAAUCCCCACGCGACCUCUCCCUCCAAUCCCCACGCGACCUUCUCCUGCCGCGUCCGCCACAGCUUCAUGCGACGUCGAUUCAAGGUGAGAGGCCGCUAGCCCACACCCUUCUCCUCCUUUUUUUCGUACCUUCCCGCACUUGGCCGUCUCACAGGGAGUGAGAGAGAAGAGUGUAGGGAGGAGGAUCAAGCAGAGAUGUGGAGCGGCAGCAGUAUGAACAUGUGGCCUAGAACCUCCAUCCCUAGACCGGCUCAGCCUCCUCCGGCCCUAUCUCUCCUCCUCUACGCCCCUCUCCUUCUCUUCAUUUCCCUCCUCCCUUCUUACCUUCACUUUCCAUUGGUUUUCAUUUUUCUCUGUGCAGAUGUUUUUGUAUAUAUGCAUGUAAGGUGUUUGAGGAAAAUCCAAGCAUGAUGUAGGAAAAUACAAGCAAGCUGUAGUUACAAGAAAAUCCAAGCAAGCUCUAUACAACGCAUUCUGCACUUUGUGAAUGUGCCAGCUGUGUCUUUGCUGACUCGUGAUCUCCGCUGCCACUACGGUCGGGUCUUUGCCGCCACUGCCAGGUCGUCAGGUUGUGAUGUUACGAUGCUGCUCUACACGAUCGUUGUGUCCUUCAAGUGUGUCCAGUCGCCGUCGUGCUGCCGCUAGCCAUACGCCCUUUCCCAUUUGGUUAGCGCUGCAGUGCACAAUACUACCACUAUUCAGUUAAAUUGAUUUAGUCCAAGGUCAAGUGGUGGGAGUCCAUUCAUGCAACAACUACCAUAACCUACCAGGCUGCAACUGGAGAAGUUUACCCCUAUGGGAUGUCAUGAGGUUACACCUCUGAUGAAAGAUACAUAGAUACGGAAACAAGGAUACAAUUUCAGUUUUUUCAACUCGAGUUUCAGGUUGUAUCUGCAGCCGGUGUCACUAACUGAGGUUUGUCUGAUCAUAGCAUCAAUCUUCUUCUAUACAUGUCCUUCUGAUUGCCGAACAAGCCCACGUAAUUAAGGUUAUUAACUAUCUGUAUGUUUCGGACUUAAUUAGUCCUGUACAACUAAGUUUUUGCGCCACUACUUAAGAAGAACUAGGACUACAAGAAAUAGUACUAUAAAAUAAGUAUGAUAGACGUCAUGUAAAUUUUAACCAGAGUAUCAGAGGGUGUUGCCUGUUUUAUCUCAGACACAAAGCAGUCCAUGUGGUCAAUCCUUGAUAUGUGAAUUUGUUAAUCAAUUUGCCUGCUAACUCAAUUUCUAGACCGAGCACUAUUGGUGAUUAUACUUUCUUUUCAUUGUUUGUUUACAUGUAUUCUGAAUUUUUGAUCUGGUGGUGUGGUCAUGGCAUGUGAUUUCUCUGCUUGUAGCAACAGGAAGGCCGACGUACCCGAUCCUCCUGGAGAUGGCUUAGAGAGGCUGGACGGGUCCACUCUCUUUUGGAUGGAGUCUGGUUCCGGCAAUGAGUUUGGGCUCUGCUUCCUCGGGCUGCUUGCGCCGCGUUCUUCUGCGUCAUCUCCCCGGUCAUGGCGGCGCUCUCGUCGUGCGUUGCAGGCUCGUGCAGCUAUGCGUGGUAGUGGUGUAAGGGGUGGUCAUCGCCUCUACAUCACCGUCAGUCUCCUCCAGCUUACCAUUAGCUGUCGGCCAUGAACUGGACAACAACAGUUUGGUAGCAGAUGGAAAUAGAAUAUGAUGUUUUUUUCGUACUUGGGAGGAAUUGCAUCAUGCAAAGUUUGUUGAUAAUUAACCCAAUAAGCAACAUAGUAUCAUAUGCCAAGGAAAUCAAUGUUGAUGACAAGCAAGAGCUUCAUGAGGUUGUGCAGAGGAUAUAGCAUGUUUCAGUAUAUGGAGUCAAAAAUAUACAAUCGAUCUCUCCAUAGAGCACGAUGGAGCCGACCCUCCCCUCCCUCUGCCUCGACAGCUUGUACCGACACCAACCUUGGACACCUGCGAGCAGCAAGCGCCUGCAUGCACUAGGUAGCUUGCCAAUUAGAGGUUGCCACCGUCAGUUCCUGUGCUCAACAUUGCUGCGCCUGAAGCAUACAAUCUCACCGUACUCCACACAAGGUAUGUCGUGUUUAUUUUCUCUCUACCCAGCUGAUUUCAUCAGUUAAAUUUGAUGCUUCAGUUCACCAAUGGGAAGAUCUGAGAGGCAGAACUGCAAGAAUGUUCGCAAUCUGUAAGAUAUAUUGAUAUGUUUCCUCUUUGGCAAGAUAUCAUUCAGAUUUUCUCUUUGGAUAUAGGUAUUUCAGAGAUGGUUUGAUUUACAAUGGUGUGGUCUGUAUCCCUCGAGCAAUGCCUUAAGCGAUGGUGCGGUCUGUAUUUGUGAGAUGGUUAGAUUAAAAUCGUUAUGUUACCCGUGUAGCUGGGCACAGAUAUCUUUAUGACAUAUAUUUUUCCCUUUAGCUUGAUCUCUGUGACCAAAAUACAUCAGUACAAAGCUAGGCUUAUUUAUUAAUUAUUUAUGUUUUUUGUGUGUAAAUGAUCUGUGACAAAAAAUGCAUCAGUACAAAACUAGGCUUAUUUCUUGUU